AGGUGGUAGAGGUGGAUUUGGAGGUGGUAGAGGCUUAGGUGGCAGGGGAUUUGGAGGUAGAGGAUUCGGUAGAGGAUUUGGAGGCAUUGGUAUAGGGGGUGGGGGAUUUAUUAUACCCCCUUAUUUUUUUCGAAGAAGACGUAUAGGAUAGGCAUCUAAAUUUAUUUGGUUUUUUUUGAUCUGUCAAAGGAUGAUGAAGAAGAUAUUUAACGUGUAUUCUAAUUAAUACAUUUAAUAAUUAAUUUUAACUUUU